CCUGGUUGAUCCUGCCAGUAGUAAUAUGCUUGUCUCAAAGAUUAAGCCAUGCAUGUCUAAGUAUACGCCCUAGCAAGACGAAACCGCGAAUGGCUCUUUAAAUCAGUUCCUUAGAUCGUAUACAUUUACUUUGAUAACUGUGGUAAUUCUAGAGCUAAUACAUGCAAUUGAGCUCUCGUCCCUUUUAGGGUGAGGAUGCUUUCAUUAGACCAAGACCAAACGGGGGCAACUCCGAUAGUCGUGGUGACUCUGAAAACUAUGGCGGAUCGCACAGUCCUCGCAGUGGCGACGCAUCUUUCAAGUGUCUGCCUUAUCAACCUUCGAUGGUAGGUUAUGCGCCUACCAUGGCUGUUACGGGUAACGGGGAAUCAGGGUUCGAUUCCGAAGUGGGAGCCUGAGAAACGGCUACCACAUCCAAGGAAGGCAACAGGCGCGCAAAUUACCCACUACCGGCACGGGGAGGUAGUGACGAAAAAUAACAAUACGGGACUCUAACGAGGCUCCGUAAUUGGAAUGAGUACACUCUGAACCUUUUAACGAGGAUCUAUUGGAGGGCAAGUCUAGUGCCAGCAGCCGCGGUGACUCUAGCUCCAAUAGCCAAUAUUAAAGUUGUUGCGGUCCUAAAAAGAAUAGAUGACCGGCGAAAUCAAGAUUUUUCACUUCCUUAAGUUUUGUCGAUGAGUGUACUUAUUCAUCAAUACUAUUUUGAAAUUAGAAUGUCAUUAUAUUCGGCUUAAACAUUGACAGUAAGGCUUGCUAUGUAUAAAUUGAGAAAGAAAACGAAGUUUAAUAAGAAAGUUAUAUAUAAUACAUAUACCAGAAUAAGAGGUUGGUAGAGAAAGAAAGAUAAUAUAUAACUUAUGCUUUAUUUUAUUCAGAAAUUGUUUACAUCUUUUCAGU
rnacentral:rRNA from 1 species